UGGGGAAUUUUGGACAAUGGGCGAAAGCCUGAUCCAGCAAUGCCGCGUGUGUGAAGAAGGCCUUCGGGUUGUAAAGCACUUUUGUCCGGAAAGAAAUCCUUGGCUCUAAUACGGUCGGGGGAUGACGGUACCGGAAGAAUAAGCACCGGCUAACUACGUGCCAGCAGCCGCGGUAAUACGUAGGGUGCAAGCGUUAAUCGGAAUUACUGGGCGUAAAGCGUGCGCAGGCGGUUUGCUAAGACCGAUGUGAAAUCCCCGGGCUCAACCUGGGAACUGCAUUGGUGACUGGCAGGCUAGAGUAUGGCAGAGGGGGGUAGAAUUCCACGUGUAGCAGUGAAAUGCGUAGAGAUGUGGAGGAAUACCGAUGGCGAAGGCAGCCCCCUGGGCCAAUACUGACGCUCAUGCACGAAAGCGUGGGGAGCAAACAGGAUUAGAUACCCUGGUAGUCCACGCCCUAAACGAUGUCAACUAGUUGUUGGGGAUUCAUUUCCUUAGUAACGUAGCUAACGCGUGAAGCUGACCGCCUGGGGAGUACGGUCGCAAGAUUAAAACUUAAAUGAAUUGAC
rnacentral:rRNA from 1 species